rnacentral:rRNA from 1 species
UACGAAGGGGGCUAGCGUUGCUCGGAAUCACUGGGCGCAAAGCGCACGUAGGCGGCUUUCUAAGUCAGGGGUGAAAUCCUGGAGCUCAACUCCAGAACUGCCUUUGAUACUGGAGAGCUUGAGUCCGGAAGAGGUGAGUGGAACUCCGAGUGUAGAGGUGAAAUUCGUAGAUAUUCGGAAGAACACCAGUGGCGAAGGCGGCUCACUGGUCCGGUACUGACGCUGAUGUGCGAAAGCGUGGGGAGCAAACAGG